GGUACCUUGACCGAGUGGUUAGGUAGCGGUCUGCAAAACCGUCCACGGCGGUUCGACUCCGCCAGGUACCUCAA
rnacentral:tRNA from 1 species